UAUUCGCAACCGAUAACUACUUAACGACAGCUUCUCAGCUGUCGAAAACUUGUUUUCAUUCAGAACGCAACUUCGUUAGUUUCGCAUUCGAAAAAUUUGAGACCAGGCUCGCACUUUUUCUACUCGGUACCGACUUUGACGUCAGCGCGUACCACGUGACACGGCUUUUACCGAACCUUCGCCUAUUCGAAAGUAGUGCAGACUUGACCCCCAAGGCUCCAUGUAGAGUACAUGUCGACUAAACAUUAAGGAGACGCAAGUAUAACCGUGCCGAAUGACAUCCAGCCACAUAAUGAACAUCGUUUGUACUUACUGUCGUGAACUAAAUCGGGCAUGUACAGGCAUAUGCCAAACAAGACUCAGAGUCUUGUGGGAGCACAUGCACAGAUACAUUGCCUCUGAUUCUAUCAUUAUUUCCAACAGUGCACCUAGGUACCUAGGUUACUGCUCUUGGCUUUUCAGAACAAUUGACGGUCACUUACAGUAAACAGGGCACUGGGAGAUUUAUUAGUCCUACAAAUCCACAGUGCCAUACGCAAAAAACACCGAUUCAAAAAACCGUCGUGUCAAGAGCACCAUCAAAUCUCUGCGUACAGAACUCUGCAGCAGUAUAUCUGCGAAAGUUUCAUUGAUAUAUGCUUCUGCUGGAGAAUGCUUCUUUCGACAUCUCGUCGAGGGACCUUGCAGAAGCGGGUCCUAGUGCUUCUACAUUCUAUCCGCCAUCUAUGUCAUUGGAUGCCGAUGAAACCACCUCUGACUAAAGUAAGCCAUUCAUAAGGUAGGUUUGUUUAAACUAUAUAUGUUAUUAGCUUUUUUAUUUUCACGUCAUUAUUAUUAUUAUUUCUAGGAUUGUUAGGGUUACCAAGAUUUUCCUAGCUGGGAAUCGGUAGAUCCUCUGUCUUAAGUGAAUUAUAAAAUCUAAGAAUAAUGAAUUUGCUCGCUAUUCUCUGCUUAGAUAUAUCAUCUGCGACAAUAGAAGGAAAUUCAUCCACUACCUGUUUUUGCCUGCUCUGAGUGUAUUGAAGAAAUUUCGUUAUGUGACCUAUUCGCCUCGCGUCGCGUUGCGUUCCUGUUCGCUCCGACGACAUCCCAGAUGGCAGCGUUCUCCGGUGAUGAAGUUCUUUCUCCGUAAAUAUCGUACUUUUCCCCAUAUUUAACUCAUCGGUUCCACUUUCGCGCUUCCUUUUUGCAUUAAUUUAUAUUUAGAUCACGUGACCAAAAAUAUUUCGGGGGGAAAACAACCUGUGUUCCGUGAGAUCGAAAUUCAUGCCAUUUGUUUUUUGUCUAACGAUUUUUCGAACCAGC
rnacentral:lncRNA from 1 species